GGGGCCCCUGUGCCAGGCCAGCCCAUGUUGCCGCCUGGGCAGUAGCCCCCGGGGGCCUACCCUGGACAGCCGCCCAUGACCUACCCUGGACAGUCACCAAUGCCACCUCCUGGGCAGCAGCCUGUGCCAAGCUAUCCAGGGUACUCAGGUUCUGGGACUGUCACCCCUGCCGUGUCCCCAGCCCAGUUUGGAAACCGAGGCACCAUCACAGAUGCAUCUGGCUUUGACCCACUGCGAGAUGCUGAGGUCCUGCUGAAGGCCAUGAAAGGCUUUGGGACUGACGAGCAGGCCAUCAUUGACUGCCUGGGCAGUCGCUCCAACAAGCAACGGCAGCAGAUCCUCCUGUCCUUCAAGACAGCAUAUGGGAAGGAUUUGAGCAAAGAUCUGAAAUCUGAACUGUCAGGAAACUUUGAGAAGACAAUCUUGGCCCUGAUGAAGACGCCUGUCCUCUUUGAUGCUUAUGAGAUAAAGGAAGCUAUCAAGGGGGCGGGCACUGAUGAAGUCUGCCUGAUUGAGAUCCUCGCCUCCCGCAGCAAUGAGCACAUCCGGGAACUGAACAGACUCUACAAGACAGAAUUCAACAAGACUCUGGAGGAGGCCAUUCGGAGCGACACGUCAGGGCACUUCCAGCGGCUCCUCAUCUCUCUCUCUCAGGGGAACCGGGAUGAAAGCACGAACGUGGACAUGACUCUCGUCCAGAGAGAUGCGCAGGAGCGCUAUGCAGCUGGGGAGAACCGCCUGGGAACAGAUGAAUCCAAGUUCAGUGCAAUUCUGUGCUCCCGGAGCCGGACCCACCUGGUGGCAGUUUUUAAUGAGUAUCAGAGAAUGACAGGACGUGACAUUGAGAAGAGCAUCUGCCGGGAGAUGUCCGGGGACUUGGAGCAAGGCAUGCUGGCUGUGAUGAAAUGUCUUAAGAAUACCCCAGCCUUCUUUGCUGAGAGGCUCAACAAGGCCAUGAGGGGAGCAGGAACCAAAGACCGGACCCUGAUCCGCAUCAUGGUGUCUCGCAGCGAGAUCGACCUCCUGGACAUCAGAGCGGAGUAUAAGCGGCUGUAUGGCAAGUCGCUGUACCACGAUAUCACGGGAGACACUUCAGGGGAUUACCGGAAGAUUCUGCUGAAGAUCUGUGGUGGCAACGACUGGGCAGUGGCUGGUGGGUCACUUCUCUCCACCUGCUGGCAACAGCAAUGCCAGGAAAAGGCCAAAAGGACGUUUGUCUGUUUCUAACAAAUCUACAAAACCGCCCCCAGGUGUCACCUUUCAGAGCAGCCGUAGAGCCGGGGCCCCAGCUCCUCCCCCACCCUCUCGAUCCGUGCACUGUGCUUGAGCCGAACCUGGCCAGUCUCUCGGGACGCCUCCUGCCCAUCCCCACCCCUCACAGCCUCUUGCAGCUGAAGUAGAUGUUUUGUUUCCUGACUCAUGCAGUCAUUCCCCUUUGCUUAUGGCUGAAACUCUUGGCUUCCUUUUAGUCAUGUAAUUUCGUAUGUUUAGAAGGUGUUUUUUUUUUUUUUAAUAUAUAGUUGCAGACAGUUGCAUACACGUCUUUGCUGCAUACAAAGUUUGGGUGAAAGAGGUGGGGGUUGGAGUGCCUGUCUUCACGGAGGAGUAAAAGGGAAAACCGUUAAGGGUACACGCUCUGCAUCUGGUGAAAAUGUGUCAUGAGCUUUGUUAUUGCCAAACUCACUCCUUUUUAGAAAAGAAAAGGCCAGAAAGUCAUCUGUUCUUUCUUCCACGCAAACCACAAGAACAAAGCCAGCUCCCUGCCAGUGACAGGGCUUCUUGUAAUUGAGAAUGUGCCUUAAACCUGAAUGUCGAUGGCCAAAUGCUAUUUCCAAAUUAAAGUCACCCAGCUCUGGAA